AUUGAACGCUGGCGGCAUGCUUUACACAUGCAAGUCGAACGGCAACAGGCCGCAAGGUGCUGACGAGUGGCGAACGGGUGAGUAAUGCAUCGGAACGUGCCCAGUCGUGGGGGAUAACGCAGCGAAAGCUGUGCUAAUACCGCAUACGAUCUAUGGAUGAAAGCGGGGGACCGUAAGGCCUCGCGCGAUUGGAGCGGCCGAUGUCAGAUUAGGUAGUUGGUGGGGUAAAGGCCUACCAAGCCAACGAUCUGUAGCUGGUCUGAGAGGACGACCAGCCACACUGGGACUGAGACACGGCCCAGACUCCUACGGGAGGCAGCAGUGGGGAAUUUUGGACAAUGGGCGCAAGCCUGAUCCAGCAAUGCCGCGUGCAGGAAGAAGGCCUUCGGGUUGUAAACUGCUUUUGUACGGAACGAAACGGUCUGGGUUAAUACCCUGGACUAAUGACGGUACCGUAAGAAUAAGCACCGGCUAACUACGUGCCAGCCGCCGCCGUGAAAC
rnacentral:rRNA from 1 species